rnacentral:rRNA from 1 species
UACGGGGGGUGCGAGCGUUGUCCGGAAUCACUGGGCGUAAAGGGCGCGUAGGUGGUUUGAUAAGGGUGUGGUGAAAGCCCGGGGCUCAACCCCGGGUCUGCCGUGCCGACUGUCAAACUCGAGGGCUGUAGAGGCAGACGGAAUUCCGGGUGUAGCGGUGGAAUGCGUAGAGAUCCGGAGGAAGACCGGUGGCGAAGGCGGUUGCCUGGGGCUUUGCUGACGCUGAUGCGCGAAAGCGUGGGGAGCGAUCCGG